UAAAUAUGGAUAUAGUCUUAAAGUUAUGGAAGGAUGAUGGAGACAGAUGCUUUGAUCUAUGGAGAAACCAUCCCUGCUGAGAAUCCAAGAUCAGCAGAUCUUUAGGAGCCAGCCCAUGUCUCAUAUUACAUAUUAUAGCACUACUGAUAAGGCUUGAGUAGAAUCAUUAAAGAUGGGAACUGUAAAAUGACCAGAAAGAGAGGUCUCAAGAUUUUUGCAUUGCUCUACAAUGAAAAGGAUCCAGUCCCACCUGAUAGAAGGCCUGGUGUGUACUCUGUGCCUGUGUAUAAUAAUGAUGAGAACUCUAAACAAUAUUAUGUAGGAAGUACUACAAGAUGCCUGAAUAAAAGGCUGCAGAAGCAUAAAGCAGAUAUUCAAGCAGGGAGACUAACAAUGGCACUUGCACUUAAAGCCUAUGAACAAGAUGUCAACAUAAGUGGGAUGAAAUUCGUAUGGU
rnacentral:lncRNA from 1 species